rnacentral:rRNA from 1 species
GACAGAGGGGGCAAGCGUUGCUCGGAAUUACUGGGCGUAAAGGGCUCGUAGGCGGCCAACUAAGUCGGAUGUGAAAUCCCCAGGCUCAACCUGGGAACUGCGUCUGAUACUGGAUGGCUUGAAUCCGGGAGAGGGAUGCAGAAUUCCAGGUGUAGCGGUGAAAUGCGUAGAUAUCAGGAAGAACACCUAUGGCGAAGGCAGCUCUCUGGGACGGUACUGACGCUGAGACGCGAAAGCGUGGGGAGCGAACAGG